rnacentral:rRNA from 1 species
CAGUCGUACCUGCGGACAAUCAGCUUUUUGAGUGUGAUUAUGUGGAUUGUGAGGAGUUUAAUCACCCUCAUGUUUUACGUAUUCGUGCUCUUGGGUGUACUUGCCCGUGUGGUAGGUUAACAUCAAUUUUGGUCGUCAUAAAAUGACUGGAGGAAUGUAGCUUCGAUCUUGUAUUGAAGUGUUAUAGCCUUCGGUAGAUGUGGUGAUCGAGAUUGAGGUAUUG